ACCAUUUGAUAGAAAUUCUAAAGACUGAGUAAAAAACAUUGUUGAUAAAAAUAUUACAACAAUUUGAAUUGUCUGAUAUGAUUUACAUUGAAUAUUUCUCACGUAAACUAUCAUGAUAAAGGUGUUAUUAACCUCUGAAGCAAUAAUGACCUAAACUAGUUAAAUUUUCUUUAUUGUGAUACAAUUGAUUAUUUAGAUUAGGUGAUAAGAUUUCCACUAUUUAAAGGCCCACAAACCGUUCAAUUAGCAUCAGAAAUCAACUAACGAGCAGUUCUGAGAUUUUUCCGAAAAUGCCAAGCCAAGAAACCCAUCUUAAGGUGACCAACGCCUCCAAAACCGACAUUUUUACAACCGCAGUAUCAGGAAUCGACCCAUUUGAUUGGGAAAACAAACAUGGUCCUGCUGGAAAUUUCCAAGGAGUUUCUAUUCCUGCUGGAAAAUCCGAGGAACGAAGAGAAGAAGUGAAUCGUUUUGCCUCCAAUUGUCCUUUCACCAUGAAACUAAUGUUUGCUGACAAGACUGUGGACGUGUACACCAUCAAUCAAAAAUUUGCAAUCGGAGAAGCUCAACCUGAUUUUAGUCACACAGGCCCUCAUCUUGUAACUUAUGAUCAGAGUGGUAAAUACCUCAUUAUCUCUGUCCGCGACAAGGCCAAAGAAGAACAGUAAUUUGUGAAAAAUCAAUUUGUAAAUUUGGUGUAAACAAUUAAAUAAAAUUUGAUUUUGACAUUUA